rnacentral:rRNA from 1 species
GACGAACGCUGGCGGCGUGCUUAACACAUGCAAGUCGAACGGAAAGGCCCUGCUUUUGUGGGGUGCUCGAGUGGCGAACGGGUGAGUAACACGUGAGUAACCUGCCCUUGACUUUGGGAUAACUUCAGGAAACUGGGGCUAAUACCGGAUAGGAGCUCCUGCUGCAUGGUGGGGGUUGGAAAGUUUCGGCGGUUGGGGAUGGACUCGCGGCUUAUCAGCUUGUUGGUGGGGUAGUGGCUUACCAAGGCUUUGACGGGUAGCCGGCCUGAGAGGGUGACCGGCCACAAUGGGACUGAGGUACGGCCCAGACUCCUACGGGAGGCAGCAGGGGGGAAUAUUGCACAAUGGGCGGAAGCCUGAUACAGCAACGCCGCGGGCGGGAUGACGGCCUUCGGGUUGUAAACCGCUUUCGCCUGUGACGAAGCGUGAGUGACGGUAAUGGGUAAAGAAGCACCGGCUAACUACGUG